UAAUAAUUUUUGUCAAUAGUUAUCAAUUAAUGCAUUAAUUAAUUUAAAAUUUUUAGGUUAACUAAUGAAAAAUUAUUGACCCUUAGUAAUGAUAUAUUGAUUAAUAAUUAAUUAGUUCAUUAAUCAAAAUUGAAGAAAAUUUUCUAAGUUCAUAAUUUUAUUUCAUUAUUUGGUAAAUAGUUAUUAAUUAAUUACUCUAAUUAUAUAUAUUAAUUAAUUUAUAAUCAAUGACAAAUUAAUUGGUGAUAAUUAGACAAAUUUCAGUGCGCGUGAUCAGAAUGGGUGGGGGAAAGCCGCUAUUUUCAAAAUCGACAAAGUGACUGUUGACAACGGUUGGGUCGCUCAUACAACUGCCGAUUUUCGUCCAAUUUCGGGCCGAUGCAAGUGCCGCGCGGGGGUUAUGGGCCCUUUCGCGGACGCUUAAGGUCACCACACGCCUUCCUCAACGUUUGCCCUCGCAGGAAAUGAAGGUUUGACGCUGGAUCUCGACAUUUUCGCAGCCGCGCCGUGAGUUUUGGCAAAAAAUUUGGGCCGCGAUGUGAUCGAGUCCCCGUUUGUGCUUCUCGCCGCGCUGAAGCCGCGUGUUGGAAGGAAAAGUAAAAGAUUUGAUAGAGCAGCGCGCCGCAUUGAGACGGAUUUUGCCACAUUUGAUUGCCAGAUCCCACCGUGCACCUGCCCUGUGAGGAGAUGAAUCUCUUUCGCCCUCGCAAAUCUCUCGAGAGACAAUUAAAAAGAGCGGUCAGCGGUCAUGCCAGCGCAGCUGACAAUCGGAUGACUUCGACUUCCCGUCACGCUGCCGAAUGACUUUUGGAAAAGAAUAUUUUUUUUUAUAUUUUUUAGGUGGUCUGAUUAAAAGUAAAAUCGAGGAAUGAAGCCUAACCGUCUGCAGUUAAAAAGAAUUUUGUAGCUUCCUAAAUUUCUGCCGACAUAAUAAAAAGACUCCGCCAAUCCUUAUUGUGGACAAAAAAAUUGGAGGUUUUUGUACAAAUGGCCUGCCUAUUAAUUGAGAUGCAAGACGGUUUCCAGGGACAAUUUCGUCCAAUGAAUGAAACCCGACGCAGUUGUUCAGCGUAAAGAACGUGAUAAUUAUAAAAUUUUGUGGCAAUAAUUAUUGUUUUUUGUAAAUAAAUUUAAUAGUCUUAUAAAACAAUUAUUAUCUUUCUACUUAUUUCAAUUUCAGACAUUUUGGAUCUAUGGAUUUGUCUGCAAACUUGUGAGUAUCUUACAAAAUUUGUUUCGGAUGUCAUGAAUUGUUGUGAAUUUUUAAUUUCAACUUAAAUAAAUUAUAAAAAGUUUAUAAUUAAAUAAAAUAAUUAAAGACAAGGAGAUACGGAAAAUUAAUAAUAAUUCAUUUAGUUCCAACAUUUUAACUAUUGAGUUUUACGGAGCAUUAAGUAUUUAAUUUUUUAGUGUUUUCAAUUGUAUAAAAAAAGUUGUCACAACAGUAAAUGCAACCAAAAUUUUGUAAGAUAUACCAAUUUUACAGUCAAAUUUUAAUUAACAAAAAAUUAAUUAUGAAAUGAUUUAUUAAUUAAUUAAAAAAUUAUUUAAACAUUAAUGACUAAUUAAUUAAAAAUUAAUUAUACAUUAAUUAUGAAACAUUAGUAGCUAUUUUGAGCAAACCAGUAUUAAUUUAAACAAUAAUUUUGAAAUGAUGCGAAAUCAAUGUUGCUCAUUAAUGAGUUCAUUAAUGCCACACUGUAAAAAAAGCGUCACACAAAAUUAAUGAAAAAUUAAUGGAGUGCAUUAAUGCAUCAACAUAUUUAAUUAAUGAAAAAUUAAUUUUUAAUUAAA